UUCCUGGUGGUCCAAUGGCCAAGACUCUGCACUCCCACUGCAGGGGACCCAGGUUCAAUCCCUGGUUGGGGAA
rnacentral:tRNA from 1 species